AACGAACGCUGGCGGCAUGCCUAACACAUGCAAGUCGAACUAGACCUUCGGGUCUAGUGGCGCACGGGUGCGUAACGCGUGGGAACCUGCCCUUAGGUUCGGAAUAACUCCCCGAAAGGGGUGCUAAUACCGGAUAAUGUCAUCGGACCAAAGAUUUCUCGCCUUUGGAUGGGCCCGCGUUGGAUUAGCCAGUUGGUAGGGUAAAAGCCUACCAAGGAGACGAUCCAUAGCUGGUCUGAGAGGAUGAUCAGCCACGCUGGGACUAAGACACGGCCCAGACUCCUACGGGAGGCAGCAGUGGGGAAUAUUGGACAAUGGGCGAAAGCCUGACCCAGCAAUGCCGCGUGAGUGAUGAAGGCGUUAGGGUUGUAAAGCUCUUUUACCCGGGAUGAUAAUGACGGUACCGGGAGAAUAAGCUCCGGCUAACUCCGUG
rnacentral:rRNA from 1 species